GGUGAUACUCCAAAAAACUCCUAACGUCUGAGUCCUGAUCACCAGAAGUGCUUGGUUUGAUUACAGACCGUGUAGAUGGCAAGACAUUCCCACCACUGCAAGUUGCUGGCUCCUUUUGUACCACUCUCCAGAGCCAUUUCAUCACAAACUUGGCAGCACUGAACUUAUCAGAUGAAACAUCCACAAGAAUCCUUGCCAGACUACCACUGUAAGGUCUUCAUCAGCUACUUUCCAGGGGAAACCAAUUCUCUGGAAGAUAUUGGCUUCCCUUUACCUUCCACCCAGAGGGGAAGCAGCCUAAGGCUCCCACCAGAGGCAGAUGAGACUUCCAGGUAUCAGAGCCAUGAACCUUCAGACAUCAGAAUUGUGAGGCAAAUAAACCUUUUUUCCUUAUAAAUUACUCUCUUGGGUAUUUUAUUAUAGCAAAGCAAAACAAAAC
rnacentral:lncRNA from 13 species